rnacentral:rRNA from 1 species
AGCGAACGCUGGCGGCAGGCCUAACACAUGCAAGUCGAACGAACCCUUCGGGGUUAGUGGCGAACGGGUGAGUAACACGUGGGAACGUGCCUUUAGGUUCGGAAUAACUCAGGGAAACUUGUGCUAAUACCGAAUGUGCCCUUCGGGGGCAAGAUUUAUCGCCUUUAGAGCGGCCCGCGUCUGAUUAGCUAGUUGGUGAGGUAAUGGCUCACCAAGGCUACGAUCAGUGGCUGGUCUGAGAGGAUGACCAGCCACAUUGGGACUGCGACACGGCCCAAACUCCUACGGGAGGCAGCAGUGGGGAAUCUUGCGCAAUGGGCGAAAGCCUGACGCAGCCAUGCCGCGUGGAUGAUGAAGGUCUUAGGAUUGUAAAAUCCUUUCACCGGUGAAGAUAAUGACUGUAGCCGGAGAAGAAGCCCCGGCUAACUUCGUGCCAGCCGCCGCUGUAACAC